rnacentral:rRNA from 1 species
UACAGAGGUCCCAAGCGUUGUUCGGAUUCACUGGGCGUAAAGGGUGCGUAGGUGGCCAGGUAAGUUCGGUGUGAAAGCUCGGAGCUUAACUCCGAAAUGGCAUUGAAUACUAUCUGGCUAGAGGGUCGGAGGGGAGACUGGAAUUCUCGGUGUAGCAGUGAAAUGCGUAGAUAUCGAGAGGAACACCAGUGGCGAAGGCGAGUCUCUGGACGACUCCUGACACUGAGGCACGAAAGCCAGGGGAUCAAACAGG